CGGCUUAUCAAAUCGAAAAUCAAAUCCGCUGAGGAAAUGCAAGAUGCUAACCAGGUAAGCUAAAAUAAAUCAACCUUUUGAUUCUAAGUCUGUACACAAAGAAUGUUUUAAUUUACAUUUGGCCGAUAGAAAAUAGCCUUUCAAACUUUACUCGAGUUUUUGUCAAUAUAUGAAUUCAGAAUGAAUUUUAGGAUGCAUAAAGAAAUUUGAUCAGAAAUAAUACCAAAAUACAUCAGUGGGAUGGAGAUGGCCGAAGAAGUGGAGUGGUGAGACAAGAUGCACAAGGAGUGCCUAGCUAGUUGAGGACAUUGAGGAUAGUUGUGGUCCAACUGGUCUAGCUAGGUGCAAGUUGAAGUUGUCAAUUCAAAGAACUACAUCAGUCAAGGCCUCAUGCCUUCUUGGGUAAUUUGGUUACCAUAUUUUUUUCUGUUUCUGGGGAAACAGAAUUUUUGUUUGAGAUAUUAAAAUUAACAUUAGCCUUUAUGGAGGAUAUUGGAAACAUUGUUACAAUAAGCACUUGAACGCCAAGACAAUAUAAAAGCAACCUUACUGAAACCAAGGACAAUUUACUAGGUAUAAUAACUCGACGUAAUCCUUUGUGUUCUCUUGGAUGUAAAAUAUAACCUCUCGAAUGUAGACAUAUACUCCUCUCCGUUGGAUGGCAGAGCUGAAUUUUUGCAUUUAACAUCCACAAUAUGGUGGAAAGGUCACAACUAGAUGAUUAAAAGCUUUGGAACCACAAAACCUUCAAGAAACAAUUACUAGAAGUAAAAGAAAUAAAAAUAAGAGAGAAAAGUUUCCUUCAAAUUUAUGGCUGAAGUUACUGCACCAAAAAUCAUGGGUAGAGCUUCUUACAUAGAAAAACUCUCGCCCAACGAAAAAAAAAUCCAGUAAAUUGCGUGGCUCGCAGGGCUACAACUUAAACAAAUCCCGUAGGCUACAUCAUUUUUCCCGAAGGGUAUUACAUCGAACUAGGCCAUAUAAUCGUUGCCACCUAAGCUUCUCCAUGGUCUCUACGUCACUAAAACGACCACAUAUUGCUCUAUGAAGACUUGCAUUCACUUUGGGAAGGAGCACCUACGUAGACGCGUCCAUUUAUACGAAACAAGGCCUAGAGGCUAAUCCACCAUGGGUAAAAUUCACCUAAAUUCACCUAAAUGCUUUGAGGGAGAAUUGAACCUACAACAUGUUGAUGGAUGUCUUCAUUAACUGAACUAACAAUUGUUGGCCUUGCCUAACAACUUGAAACUGAAUACUUGUUUUUAAAGGUAUUUGAUGGUCACUUCUUAAUCAUGUUAAAUCACUAUGAAAGCUUCAAAACCUAACAUAACAUUAAGGAUGAGAACUACUUAGUCGAAACUCAUUAAACAAUAACAAGAAACCAGUUAGGAUUUAUAUCUCUAAAUUUGGAAACUUUAGUUGGCUCUGUAAACUGACUUGACCCUGUCAAACAUCAUUAAAGACUCCCAAUCCGUAUAUAGGCACUAAUUCUCUAGAUGAUCCCAAACUCAUUUUGCAUGUCUGUUGAAGAAAAUACCAUAAAGGUGGUACAGAUAUGACAUAUGGAAGAGAUACUUUAGACGUUUUUACAAUAUCAUCCACAUCUAAAAUAUAUUGUUCGCUGAAUUUUUAAGUUUUAUAGACUGCCAGAGCAUGGAUGACACCCUAAUGUAUCAUGGCUCCGUCAUGCAUAAGAUUCAUCAGUACAUGUAGGUGUGAGUGAGGGUGUGGGUGUGGGUGUGGAUUAGGGUUACAAAACCCUAUGUAGUAAAUAUCAUAUCCCAAUGAGUUAAAUUAAUUUACACCUAAGUAUACACAUAUGUGGAUUUACAUUAAUUACGUAUAUAUGAAUGAAUGGGAGGUUUACUAGUUGAGUAGUUGACUUUACUUAUAGUUAAACCUCAACCAUCGGAACAAAUCUAAUAAAAAUCUGAUUUUUUUUAUCACUAUUUUUCUUUUAAUACUGCUUUUUUGACGGUAUAACUUUCAAACUUUGGUAGGUGGAAGGAAUUCCAGAUGGAUUUCCGUUCAAAAUUAAAGAUGAGCCUGGAAAGCAAACAAUAUCACUAAAAAGAGAAGACCAGGGUGAGGCCAUCAAAGUACAAGUGGACAUGCCCAGUAUCUUGACUCAGGAAUAUGAUGAUAGCGGUCUAAAGGUGGACAUACCCAGCAUUCCACUGGUGGUUUCUGUAACUAAUAGUGUGAAUGGAAAAUGUUUGAAGUUCACCAUUGCUGAUUACAUAGUUGCUUCCGAAAUUCAUAGCCUGGUUGUGAAGGACCGGGGUACAUCUGAAGCAAGUCAUGCCUAUAGGGGACCAGAUCUUGUGUAAGUUAUCUUGAUUCGUUAUUUGGUGUUUUUAGUCAUUAAAAUUGCUUGCAGUAUAUCUCACACUGUAGAUCUUCUUUUGUAGGGCUACUAAGAAACUGCCCAGCGCUUUUCGCUACUAUCUCAAUGCCAGAGGGAUUGAACAAAGCACCAGUCGUUUUUUGUACGAGUACAUGGUCAAUAAAUCCCGCAAAGAGUACCUGACCUGGCUGAAGAAUGUGAAAAGUUUCAUUGAGAACUAGCUUUUCAAACUCAACAGUGUGUAUCCCAUGGAGUUGCAGAGUUCUAAGCUUAGGAGUUAGACUUGUUUACCCUCAGUAUAUUUGCAACUUGAGUAAACUUACAUAUUUUAUGGAUUUGUUGGAGAUUUGCUUUUGUUGGCAGUUGUAUGUGGUUUGAGUGCAUAUGUCUGAAUUUCAAUCAUGGACAGUUCUCAAUGUGUAGUUCUCUGAAUUUCAAUCAUGAGUUUAGAUUUAAAUUGAAGGAAAAAAACUACAAUGAAACAGACUCUACUCCAUCCCAACCCAAGCAGCACCUUUGAACAAAUUUCUUUCAAGGAAACAAAUAUGCUUUUUUUAUUAUGUGUGCGCAAAAAAGCAAGGUUAUUAUAUAUUGAUAGUAAAGAUAUUACAAAACAUACAUUUCUGCACAUAGGCACUAUAUGUGCCUUCUAGGUAAACAGACUCUACACAUGACAUGAUGAUCUGCAGAUCUGGUGGUGCCUAUGGACCUUAAACGAGUACUAGAUUAUAGUGUCCUUAAAAUUCUAGAGAUUUUUGGACAUACCCCCAUUUAAAAGUCGAAAUUUGAGAUACCCCAUUUGAAAAAUAAAUUGAGGCAUUGAACAGGAGUUUAACACAAGAGUGGUAACUUGCGACGCUGGCUCUUUAAAACCCUAAUUUGAAGCUGAAGCCAUUGAUCAAGAAAAUGCGUUCAUUAGCGACUUCUCUCGUGAAGAAAGCAACUAUUUUAACUCCUCUGCUACUAAGCAACAACAACACAAUUGUGCAUUCUACUCUUCUUCUGUUAUUAAAAAAAGUAUGUUCAGAGCCUUUUCUGUUUCAUCAUCCAUUUCGUUUCUCCUCUUUCUCUACUGCAAUUGAAAAGCCCAGUUCUGACAAAAGGGUUGGGGGAAUAAUCCAAUCAAAAUUGCUUCAGGCUGAGGUAAUUAACACCCCCUCUUUUCCUCUAUUUAUAUUUACCCGAGAUAAUAUUAUUGUAAAAAAAAAAAAAAAUUAAUGUGAAAUAAAAAAAAAAAUUGUUUAGCUCUGCUCUGUGUUGCAUUAGCAGUAAAUCUGUGAAGAAUUUUGGGGGUUCACUUAUUUGAUUUAUAUGUUUGUUUACAUGGUAGGGGCUUCCUGUUCCGGAUGGGUUUUCAUUUCAAAUCAUUGACAAUCCUGGUGACGACUCAAUUUCUUUACAGAAAAACUUUGCUGAUGAGACUAUAAAAAUUUUGGUAUACUAUCCAGAUGAUGAUGCUCAAGUUUUAGAUGGUGAUAAAAGUUCCGGCAUGCUCAACAUCUCUCUCAUUGUGACUGUGGUCAAGGGGGAUGGGCCUUGCAUGGAAUUUCGUUGCAGGGCUUUUCAUGAUAAUGUAAAAAUUCAGAGGAUGUUGAUUAAAGGGCCUGCAGAUUCUUCUGAAGAGAUUCCAUACGAGGGACCAGAGUUUUUGUAAGUUGCUUCAUACUAUCUUAAACAUUUUCUUUCUGUCAAGUAUAUAUAUAUAUAUAUAUAUAUAUAUAUAUAUAUAUAUAGAUUUUGUUAUUGGAACAAACAUCUUACAACAAACCAUGUUAUAGGAUUUCAAAAUAGAAAAAAAAAAAAAAAAUGACCUCGAGAAGAAAAAAGUUGCAUACAUUUAAAGAGCUUCAAGCUAAAUAUGUAAAGAGAGAAACGUUUAAUGUAUUUAUAUCCAGGAACUAAGGAUAGGAAAAACGUGUCCCCAAAUAUGUAGGACACGACAAAGGGCACAUAAAUUAAAUAUAUAUAUGCAAAAACAUAAUAUACUAAUAGUACGUUAAGAACCAUAUCAUGUAUCAUAUACAUUUAUAUAGUUAAAGCUUGAAUGAGAAAUUAUUCCAUAGAUUGCAAUUUCUCUUAAGUGAGGACUGAGGAGCAGAUCUGUGUCUGUAAUUAGAAGGUGUGACCCUUUCCUAUAAAAAAAGACCCCUCCUUCCCCAUGGGCAAAGUGGGACUGUGUCAGGGAAAUGUACUGGAGGACCCACUGGCAAGGAGUCCCUCGUACAUCUUACCUAUGUGGAGUCUGUCCUGCUAGGCUGCCAGCUGGUGUUUCACUUUUAGGUGUCUACAACAUCAUAGCUUUUUUUUUCAGCUUACUUAUUGCUUGAUUAUCACAAUUGAAAUCAAUCUGAUCCAUUGCUAUUUUAUUUGUUUGGUUGCAUAGGGAUUUGGAUGAUGACUUGCAGACAGAAUUUCAUAACUACCUCGAAACAAGAGGGAUCCGGAGUUCCUUGGCGAAAUUCUUACAACAGUACAUGGCUAACAAAGAUAACAGUGCAUACUUGGUGUGGCUGAAAAACAUUAAAAGGUUCAUUGAGAAAUAAUUGAUGGUAGUGUUCCUCUAUGAUAGUCCACAAGAUGGAUGUGCUACAUUGCAGGAUAUAUUUAAAGGAUGGUAUUUGAUCUGGAUUAAAGCCCAAGUACGUUACGAUUGAUGGAUGAAAGCUUAGAUGGUGUUGUUGUGUUCAGUUAAUUUAUGUUGAGGUUUUCUUGUGGGACUUGUUUAGUAUGUUGGUUUUUUUUAUGUUUGGUACGACGAUGCAGUGGUUUAAAUGUAUGGAUCUUAUUCUUCGAUUAUAGAUGUUUAUGCUUGAUGUGGAUGUUUCACUAUUUUUUGUAGCAAUAUGUGGAUGCUUUUAUUUGUAUUGGUGUGUUAGUUAUGUGUGUAG
rnacentral:lncRNA from 1 species